UAUAACUAGUGAAGCGCCUGCAGAGUGUUACCCUCCCAAUCCUCCGGUGAGGUCCUUCCAGACUGCCCGGGAAAGAGCCUGUGAGGCUUGAACCAGAAGACCCAGCAAAGCACUGCCUGGGCUCUGCGCCCAUGGAAACAAUAAGCCAGGAAACAACUGAGCCUGGACCCAGAGUCUGGCCUGAUUGUCCCAAGGCUCCAGUCAUUGUGCCGGAUUCAAGUGUCAAGUCAAGGUCAGGAGGGCCACGAUGAGAACUGAUGAAGACUCCCAAUCCUGGCAGGAGGCUGGUCCUCCGUCUCCAUAAACACGAGCUCUGGCAGAGACGUCUGCAAGCCUAGAUCUUUACAGCUGGGCUAGUGGCUUCAACCGUCUGAAGGGCAGACUCAACAACUGCCAACCGGUGCGCUGUCCAGAAGAUGCUUUCUGCGUGGCCCUGCAAUGCAAAGUCCCCAAGCCCAAUCCCAAUGUGCCUUCCUGGUGUUCCUGGUCGCCUAGAGUUUUCACCUCCUUUGUCCCCAGUGCUGGGCACCUUCCCUAUUUAAGUAUUAUCCUAGCUGAUCACUGCUUACAGAAAGCCCAUAUUCUUCAUUUUCAUUGAUAGAGUUCCCAGAGCUCUAGCCAGUGCCUGGCAUCAAGCAGGGGCUGAAUGAGAGCGUGUGGAGGGCUUCCCUGGGGGCUUAGUGUAAAGAAUCUGCUUGCCGAUGCAGGAGACAUGGGUUCCAUCCCUGAUCUGGGAAGAUCCCACUUGCUGUGGAGCAGCUAAGCCCAUGCGCCACAACUACUGAGCCUGUGCUCCAAAGCCUAGGCUGCAGCUACUGAAGUCCCUGCGCCCUAGAGC
ensembl:lncRNA